CCUACGGGGAGCUGCAGUGGGGAAUAUUGGACAAUGGGCGAAAGCCUGAUCCAGCCAUGCCGCGUGUGUGAAGAAGGCCUUCGGGUUGUAAAGCACUUUCAGUGGGGAAGAAAGCCUUGGGGCUAAUACCCUCGAGGAAGGACAUCACCCACAGAAGAAGCACCGGCUAACUCCGUGCCAGCAGCCGCGGUAAUACGGAGGGUGCGAGCGUUAAUCGGAAUUACUGGGCGUAAAGCGCGCGUAGGCGGUCUGAUAAGCCGGUUGUGAAAGCCCCGGACUCAACCUGGGAACGGCAUCCGGAACUGUCAGGCUAGAGUGCAGGAGAGGAAGGUAGAAUUCCCGGUGUAGCGGUGAAAUGCGUAGAGAUCGGGAGGAAUACCAGUGGCGAAGGCGGCCUUCUGGACUGACACUGACGCUGAGGUGCGAAAGCGUGGGUAGCAAACAGGAUUAGAUACCCGGGUAGUC
rnacentral:rRNA from 1 species